rnacentral:rRNA from 1 species
CAUGCAAGUCGAACGAAGCUUGACGGAUGAUUUCUUCGGAAUGAAACCAGAUAUGACUUAGUGGCGGACGGGUGAGUAACACGUGAGCAACCUGCCUUUCAGAGGGGGAUAACGGCUGGAAACGGUCGCUAAUACCGCAUGACGUGUUCGGAUGGCAUCAUCUGAACAUCAAAGAUUUAUCGCUGAAAGAUGGGCUCGCGUCUGAUUAGAUAGUUGGUGGGGUAACGGCCUACCAAGUCUACGAUCAGUAGCCGGACUGAGAGGUUGAACGGCCACAUUGGGACUGAGAUACGGCCCAGACUCCUACGGGAGGCAGCAGUGGGGAAUAUUGCACAAUGGGGGAAACCCUGAUGCAGCAACGCCGCGUGAAGGAUGACGGUUUUCGGAUUGUAAACUUCUUUUCUUAGUGACGAAGACAGUGACGGUAGCUAAGGAAUAAGCAUCGGCUAACUACGUGCCAGCAGCCGCGGUAAUACGUAGGUUGCAAGCGUUAUCCGGAUUUACUGGGUGUAAAGGGAGCGCAGGCGGGACUGCAAGUUGGAUGUGAAAUACCGUGGCUUAACCACGGAACUGCAUCCAAAACUGUAGUUCUUGAGUGAAGUAGAGGCAAGCGGAAUUCCGAGUGUAGCGGUGAAAUGCGUAGAUAUUCGGAGGAACACCAGUGGCGAAGGCGGCUUGCUGGGCUUUA